AAGUUACAUCUAUCAGGUGCUAAAAUGACUGGAACUCCUCUGGGUUCUAUAACCCAACACUGAUUCUGUGACUCACACAGAACCAUUAGAACGCUGCCCUUUAUGUUCACGUUUUUGAAACUGAUUUCCAGCUAUAAUUCCAUCAUUAACAACAGAAAGAGCAAUUGAUGGCAACCUUUUGUUGUUCAUAUUGUAGCUUCUUUCCCCUUCUAGAAAGUGAUUCCAUUUUCUGCUUCUGUGUAUCUAAGUCUUGUUUAAAAAAUUGCUUAAUAAGUAGAACUUUGUAACUUGUAAUUUUUCUUCAGACCUACAGCCUGCAGACUCUGUGAGAACAAACACCUUGGUGCUAUUUCCAUGUCAGGUAGCUGAAACGCGUAGAAGAGGAUUACUUACCAGAGCUUCUGAGUAAGAUGACGUUAAUACGAGGUUGUGGAGAGUGAGAGGUGGGACAUAAACAGAGGACUUUCAUACUGAGGACCUUCAAAGUCGUACUUUUCUAGAGUUUCUCCAUCUACCACUUUCUGUUCUUCAAAAGAAUGUCCUUAUCUUGGACUUGGUAACAUAAAGUAAUACUGGGAAAAGUUAAACUGUUGAGGAAGACUUUACUCAAUACUGCAACAAAUGGAGAGAGAACAUCUGAAAUCAU